rnacentral:rRNA from 1 species
CACCGGCGGCUCGAGUGGUGGCCACUUUUAUUGGGUCUAAAGCGUCCGUAGCCGGCUUGGCAAGUCCCCUGGGUAAUCUGGCGGCUUAACCGUCAGGCGUCCAGAGGAUACUGCCAGGCUUGGGACCGGGAGAGGUGAGAGGUACCUCAGGGGUAGGGGUGAAAUCUUGUGAUCCCUGAGGGACCACCAGUGGCGAAGGCGUCUCACUAGAACGGGUCCGACGGUCAGGGACGAAAGCUGGGGGCACGAACCGG